rnacentral:rRNA from 1 species
AGAGUUUGAUCCUGGCUCAGAUUGAACGCUGGCGGCAGGCUUAACACAUGCAAGUCGAACGGUAACAGGAGAAAGCUUGCUUUCUUGCUGACGAGUGGCGGACGGGUGAGUAAUGCUUGGGAAUCUGGCUUAUGGAGGGGGAUAACUACGGGAAACUGUAGCUAAUACCGCGUAAUAUCUUCGGAUUAAAGGGUGGGACUUUCGGGCCACCUGCCAUAAGAUGAGCCCAAGUGGGAUUAGGUAGUUGGUGGGGUAAAGGCCUACCAAGCCGACGAUCUCUAGCUGGUCUGAGAGGAUGACCAGCCACACUGGAACUGAGACACGGUCCAGACUCCUACGGGAGGCAGCAGUGGGGAAUAUUGCACAAUGGGGGGAACCCUGAUGCAGCCAUGCCACGUGAAUGAAGAAGGCCUUCGGGUUGUAAAGUUCUUUCGGUGAUGAGGAAGGCGGUUGUUUUAAUAGAACAAUCGAUUGACGUUAGUCACAGAAGAAGCACCGGCUAACUCCGUGCCAGCAGCCGCGGUAAUACGGAGGGUGCGAGCGUUAAUCGGAAUGACUGGGCGUAAAGGGCACGCAGGCGGUGACUUAAGUGAGAUGUGAAAGCCCCGGGCUUAACCUGGGAAUUGCAUUUCAUACUGGGUCGCUAGAGUAUUUUAGGGAGGGGUAGAAUUCCACGUGUAGCGGUGAAAUGCGUAGGGAUGUGGAGGAAUACCGAAGGCGAAGGCAGCCCCUUGGGAAUAUACUGACGCUCAUGUGCGAAAGCGUGGGGAGCAAACAGGAUUAGAUACCCUGGUAGUCCACGCUGUAAACGCUGUCGAUUUGGGGAUUGGGCUUUAAGCUUGGUGCCCGUAGCU